rnacentral:rRNA from 1 species
UACGUAGGGUGCAAGCGUUAAUCCGAAUUACUGGGCGUAAAGCGUGCGCAGGCGGUUUUGUAAGUCUGAUGUGAAAUCCCCGGGCUCAACCUGGGAAUUGCAUUGGAGACUGCAAGGCUAGAAUCUGGCAGAGGGGGGUAGAAUUCCACGUGUAGCAGUGAAAUGCGUAGAGAUGUGGAGGAACACCGAUGGCGAAGGCAGCCCCCUGGGUCAAGAUUGACGCUCAUGCACGAAAGCGUGGGGAGCAAACAGG